rnacentral:rRNA from 1 species
GACGAACGCUGGCGGCGUGCUUGACACAUGCAAGUCGAACGGAAAGGCCCUGCUUUUGUGGGGUGCUCGAGUGGCGAACGGGUGAGUAACACGUGAGUAACCUGCCCUUGACUUUGGGAUAACUUCAGGAAACUGGGGCUAUUACCGGAUAGGAGCUCCUGCUGCAUGGGGGGGGUGGGAAAGUUUCGUCGGUUGGGGAUGGACUCGCGGCUUAUCAGCUUGUUGGUGGGGUAGUGGCUUACCAAGGCUUUGACGGGUAGCCGGCCUGAGAGGGUGACCGGCCACAUUGGGAUUGAGAUACGGCCCAGACUCCUACGGGACGCAGCAGUGGGGAAUAUUGCACAAUGGGCGGAAGCCUGAUGCAGCGACGCCGCGUGCGGGAUGACGGCCUUCGGGUUGUAAACCGCUUUCGCCUGUGACGAAGCGUGAGUGACGGUAAUGGGUAAAGAAGCACCGGCUAACUACGUG